rnacentral:rRNA from 1 species
AUUGAACGCUGGCGGAAUGCUUACACAUGCAAGUCGAGCGGCAGCGCGGGGGCAACCCUGGCGGCGAGCGGCGAACGGGUGAGUAACAUAUCGGAACGUACCCAGUCUGGGGGAUAACUAUCCGAAAGGAUAGCUAAUACCGCAUACGACCUGAGGGUGAAAGCGGGGGACCGUAAGGCCUUGCGCUCACGGAGCGGCCGAUGGCAGAUUAGGUAGUUGGUGGGAUAAAAGCUUACCAAGCCGACGAUCUGUAGCUGGUCUGAGAGGACGACCAGCCACACUGGGACUGAGACACGGCCCAGACUCCUACGGGAGGCAGCAGUGGGGAAUUUUGGACAAUGGGCGCAAGCCUGAUCCAGCCAUGCCGCGUGCAGGAUGAAGGCCUUCGGGUUGUAAACUGCUUUUGUACGGAACGAAAAGACUCUGGUUAAUACCUGGGGUCCAUGACGGUACCGUAAGAAUAAGCACCGGCUAACUACGUG